AGCUUGGUGCAGUGGCAGUAUCGUAGCCAAUGAGGUUUAUCCGAGGCGUGAUUAUUGCUAAUUGAAUGGAGAGUAGACA
ensembl:snRNA U4 U4 spliceosomal RNA